rnacentral:rRNA from 1 species
UAGGGAAUCUUCGGCAAUGGACGAAAGUCUGACCGAGCAACGCCGCGUGAGUGAAGAAGGUUUUCGGAUCGUAAAACUCUGUUGUUAGAGAAGAACAAGGACGUUAGUAACUGAACGUCCCCUGACGGUAUCUAACCAGAAAGCCACGGCUAACUGCGUGCCAGCAGCCGCGGUAAUACGUAGGUGGCAAGCGUUGUCCGGAUUUAUUGGGCGUAAAGCGAGCGCAGGCGGUUUCUUAAGUCUGAUGUGAAAGCCCCCGGCUCAACCGGGGAGGGUCAUUGGAAACUGGGAGACUUGAGUGCAGAAGAGGAGAGUGGAAUUCCAUGUGUAGCGGUGAAAUGCGUAGAUAUAUGGAGGAACACCAGUGGCGAAGGCGGCUCUCUGGUCUGUAACUGACGCUGAGGCUCGAAAGCGUGGGGAGCAAACAGG